rnacentral:rRNA from 1 species
AACGAACGCUGGCGGCAUGCCUAACACAUGCAAGUCGAACGAGACCUUCGGGUCUAGUGGCGCACGGGUGCGUAACGCGUGGGAACCUGCCCUUAGGUUCGGAAUAACUCCCCGAAAGGGGUGCUAAUACCGGAUAAUGUCUUCGGACCAAAGAUUUAUCGCCUUUGGAUGGGCCCGCGUUGGAUUAGUUAGUUGGUAGGGUAAAAGCCUACCAAGGCGACGAUCCAUAGCUGGUCUGAGAGGAUGAUCAGCCACACUGGGACUGAGACACGGCCCAGACUCCUACGGGAGGCAGCAGUGGGGAAUAUUGGACAAUGGGCGAAAGCCUGAUCCAGCAAUGCCGCGUGAGUGAUGAAGGCCUUAGGGUUGUAAAGCGCUUUUACCCGGGAUGAUAAUGACAGUACCGGGAGAAUAAGCUCCGGCUAACUCCGUG